CUAUCCCGCCGGAAACAGGUCCCACACUCAGCUACUUGGAACCGCCUACUUCCGCUCCGCAGCCUAUCAGAAGCCUGAAUUACCGGAAUGGGUAACCUCUCCAGCUGAAGAGCUCCAGAGAAAUCUCCAGAGAGUCCCUGGAGGGGCCAGUCCAGCCAACCAGUAGGCAUGAAAGAGUAAAAGCAGGCUUGAACUCUCUCUCUUGCUCAGACCAAUGCCUGCCACCUCAUGGAGUUCUAUUUUCGCCUUCAACUUCAAUAACUCUGUUUAAAAAAAAAAAAAAAAGUAAAAGUAGCUGAGAUCUGCUGU